GGCCUGCGGGCUGCUUACACAUGCAGUCGAACGGAAACGAUGAAGAGCUUGCUCUUCAGGCGUCGAGUGGUGGACGGGUGAGUAAUGCAUAGGAAUCUGCCCAGUAGCGGGGGACAACUCGAAGAAAUUCGAGCUAAUACCGCAUACGCCCUACGGGGGAAAGCAGGGGAUCUUCGGACCUUGCACUAUUGGAUGAGCCUAUGUCAGAUUAGCUUGUUGGUGGGGUAACGGCCUACCAAGGCGACGAUCUGUAGCUGGUCUGAGAGGACGAUCAGCCACACUGGGACUGAGACACGGCCCAGACUCCUGCGGGAGGCAGCAGUGGGGAAUAUUGCACAAUGGGCGAAAGCCUGAUGCAGCAAUGCCGCGUGUGUGAAGAAGGCCUGCGGGUUGUAAAGCACUUUCAGUAGGGAGGAAAAGCAACAGGUUAAUACCCUGGUGUCUUGACGUUACCUACAGAAGAAGCACCGGCUAACUCUGUGCCAGCAGCCGCGGUAAUACAGAGGGUGCAAGCGUUAAUCGGAAUUACUGGGCGUAAAGCGCGCGUAGGCGGCUUGGUCAGUCGGAUGUGAAAGCCCCGGGCUUAACCUGGGAAUUGCAUUCGAUACUGCUAGGCUAGAGUGUAGUAGAGGGAAGCGGAAUUCCAGGUGUAGCGGUGAAAUGCGUAGAUAUCUGGAGGAACAUCAGUGGCGAAGGCGGCUUCCUGGACUAACACUGACGCUGAGGUGCGAAAGCGUGGGGAGCAAACAGGAUUAGAUACCCUGGUAGUCCACGCCGUAAACGAUGUCAACUAGACGUUGGGGGGUUUAACCCUUUAGUGUCGCAGCUAACGCGAUAAGUUGACCGCCUGGGGAGUACGGGCCGCAAGGUUAAAACUCAAGGAAUUGACGGGGGCCGCACAAGCGGUGGAGCAUGUGUUUAAUUCGAUGCAACGCGAGAACCUUACCUGCCCUUGACAUUGACAGAUCCUGCAGAGAUGCGGGAGUGCUUCGGGCUGGCAAAACAGUGCUGCAUGGCUGUCGUCAGCCUCGUGUCGUGAGAUGUUGGUUAAGUUCCCGCACGAGCGCACCAUUGUUUCCUAGUGCCAUCAUUCAGUGGGAACUCUAGGAGACUGCCGUGACAACGAGAAUGAGCACGUCAGUCAUCAUGGCUAUCGGCAGUACACUGCAAUGCAAUACAAAAGUUGCACCGCCAAGUG
rnacentral:rRNA from 1 species